AACGAACGCUGGCGGCAUGCCUAACACAUGCAAGUCGAACGAGACCUUCGGGUCUAGUGGCGCACGGGUGCGUAACGCGUGGGAACCUGCCCUUAGGUUCGGAAUAACUCCCCGAAAGGGGUGCUAAUACCGGAUAAUGUCUUCGGACCAAAGAUUUAUUGCCAUUGGAUGGGCCCGCGUUGGAUUCGCUAGUUGGUAGGGUAAAAGCCUACCAAGGCGACGAUCCAUAGCUGGUCUGAGAGGAUGAUCAGCCACACUGGGACUGGGACACGGCCCAGACUCCUACGGGAUGCAGCAGUGGAGAAUAUAGGACAAUGGGCGAAAGCCUGAUCCAGCAAUGCCGCGUGAGUGAUGAAGGCCUUAGGGAUGUAAAGCUCUUUUACCCGGGAUGAUAAUGACAGUACCGGGAGAAUAAGCACCGGCUAACUCCGUG
rnacentral:rRNA from 1 species